rnacentral:ribozyme from 1 species
UGCUUCCUUGUGCAGCUUUCGUUCAUAUCUUUAGGCUUUUAAAGUCCUGUUUAUGAAUUUUAUUUGGAAAGUAAUAUAUUACUUAUUAUAUCAGAUACACUGCGUUAUAUAGGGAGAUUCAAGCAUUGUACAGGAAGCAGUAUUAUGG